rnacentral:rRNA from 1 species
UACGUAGGGGGCAAGCGUUGUCCGGAUUUAUUGGGCGUAAAGAGCGUGUAGGCGGCUAGGUAGGUCCGUUGUAAAAACUCGAGGCUCAACCUCGAGACGCCGAUGGAAACCAUCUAGCUAGAGUCCGGAAGAGGAGAGUGGAAUUCCUGGUGUAGCGGUGAAAUGCGCAGAUAUCAGGAAGAACACCCGUGGCUAAGGCGGCUCUCUAGUACGGUACUGACGCUGAGACGCGAAAGCGUGGGGAGCGAACAGG